rnacentral:tRNA from 1 species
GUUGUGGCUCAGUGGUAGAGCACUUGCCUAGCAUGCAUGAGACACUGAGUUCAAUCCCUGGCGCAACA